rnacentral:rRNA from 1 species
UACGUAGGGUCCGAGCGUUGUCCGGAAUUACUGGGCGUAAAGCGCACGUAGGCGGGUCGUUAAGUCAGGGGUGAAAUCCCAGAGCUCAACUCUGGAACUGCCUUUGAUACUGGCGACCUAGAGUCCGGAAGAGGUUAGUGGAAUUCCCAGUGUAGAGGUGAAAUUCGUAGAUAUUUGGGAAGAACACCAGUGGCGAAGGCGGCUAACUGGUCCGGUACUGACGCUGAGGUGCGAAAGCGUGGGGAGCAAACAGG